rnacentral:sRNA from 2 species
UCUUUAUAUCGGCCAAAUCUCAGAAAACCUGAGAACGGAGGACCCACUUAUUUUGGGGUUAAUUCUGCAUUUUGCAGAAGGGAUGAGAGACUCUUUCGCCAUCCUACCCGUCAGCUAACUUCGUCGGCUAAAGCGAAGGAGGUU